UGGGGAAUUUUGGACAAUGGGCGAAAGCCUGAUCCAGCAAUGCCGCGUGUGUGAAGAAGGCCUUCGGGUUGUAAAGCACUUUUGUCCGGAAAGAAAUCCUUGGCUCUAAUACAGUCGGGGGAUGACGGUACCGGAAGAAUAAGCACCGGCUAACUACGUGCCAGCAGCCGCGGUAAUACGUAGGGUGCAAGCGUUAAUCGGAAUUACUGGGCGUAAAGCGUGCGCAGGCGGUUUGCUAAGACCGAUGUGAAAUCCCCGGGCUCAACCUGGGAACUGCAUUGGUGACUGGCAGGCUAGAGUAUGGCAGAGGGGGGUAGAAUUCCACGUGUAGCAGUGAAAUGCGUAGAGAUGUGGAGGAAUACCGAUGGCGAAGGCAGCCCCCUGGCAAGUACUGACGCUCAUGCACGAAAGCGUGGGGAGCAAACAGGAUUAGAUACCCUGGUAGUCCACGCCCUAAAACGAUGUCAACUAGUUGUUGGGGGAUUCAUUUCCUUAGUAACGUAGCUAACGCGUGAAGUUGACCGCCUGGGGAGUACGGUCGCAAGAUUAAAACUCAAAUGAAUUGACGGGGUCAUGCUGUUUCCU
rnacentral:rRNA from 1 species